GACGAACCGUGCGAACGUUAUUCGGAAUCACUGGGCUUAAAGCGCGUGUAGGCGGGCCGGCACGUCGGCUGCUGAAAUCCCCCGGCUCAACCGGGGAAGGGGCACCGAUACGACCGGCCUGGAGGGGGGUAGGGGGGACGGGAACUUCCGGUGGAGCGGUGAAAUGCGUUGAGAUCGGAAGGAACGCCCGCGGCGAAAGCGCGUCCCUGGACCCCGCCUGACGCUGAGGAGCGAAAGCAUGGGGAGCGAACAGG
rnacentral:rRNA from 1 species